rnacentral:rRNA from 1 species
AAUGAACGUUGGCGGCGUGGAUUAGGCAUGCAAGUCGUGCGGCAAGGAAGACUUCGGUCUUCCCUAGAGCGGCGGACGGGUGAGUAACACGUGGGCAACCUGCCUUGUAGAGGGGAAUAGCCUUCCGAAAGGAAGAUUAAUACCGCAUAAUAUUACACUUUCGCAUGAAGGAGUAAUUAAAGGAGUAAUCCGCUACAAGAUGGGCCCGCGGCGCAUUAGCUAGUUGGUGAGGUAACGGCUCACCAAGGCGACGAUGCGUAGCCGACCUGAGAGGGUGAUCGGCCACAUUGGGACUGAGACACGGCCCAGACUCCUACGGGAGGCAGCAGUGGGGAAUAUUGCACAAUGGGGGAAACCCUGAUGCAGCAAUGCCGCGUGAAGGAAGAAGGUCUUCGGAUCGUAAACUUUUGUCUUCAGGGACGAUAAUGACGGUACCUGAGGAGGAAGCCACGGCUAACUACGUG